rnacentral:rRNA from 1 species
UACGUAGGUGGCGAGCGUUGUCCGGAUUUACUGGGCGUAAAGCGCGCGCAGGCGGUCUGGUCAGUCCGGGGUGAAAUCUCACGGCUCAACCGUGAGCGGUCCCCGGAUACUGCCAGUCUUGAGGUGUCUAGAGGAGAGCGGAAUUCCCGGUGUAGUGGUGGAAUGCGUAGAUAUCGGGAAGAACACCAGUGGCGAAAGCGGCUCUCUGGGGACCACCUGACGCUGAGGCGCGAAAGCGUGGGGAGCGAACCGG